rnacentral:rRNA from 1 species
GCAAGUCGAGCGGAAAGGCCCUUCGGGGGUACUCGAGCGGCGAACGGGUGAGUAACACGUGAGUAACCUGCCCCUGACUCUGGGAUAAGCCUGGGAAACUGGGUCUAAUACCGGAUACGACCAUUUCUCGCAUGGAUGGUGGUGGAAAGUUUUUUCGGUUGGGGAUGGGCUCGCGGCCUAUCAGCUUGUUGGUGGGGUGAUGGCCUACCAAGGCGACGACGGGUAGCCGGCCUGAGAGGGCGACCGGCCACACUGGGACUGAGACACGGCCCAGACUCCUACGGGAGGCAGCAGUGGGGAAUAUUGCGCAAUGGGCGGAAGCCUGAGCCAGCGACGCCGCGUGGGGGAUGACGGCCUUCGGGUUGUAAACCUCUUUCAGCAGGGACGAAGUUGACGUGUACCUGUAGAAGAAGCGCCGGCUAACUACGUGCCAGCAGCCGCGGUAAUACGUAGGGCGCGAGCGUUGUCCGGAAUUAUUGGGCGUAAAGAGCUCGUAGGUGGCUUGUUGCGUCUGCCGUGAAAGCCCGUGGCUUAACUACGGGUCUGCGGUGGAUACGGGCAGGCUAGAGGCUGGUAGGGGCAAGCGGAAUUCCUGGUGUAGCGGUGAAAUGCGCAGAUAUCAGGAGGAACACCGGUGGCGAAGGCGGCUUGCUGGGCCAGUUCUGACGCUGAGGAGCGAAAGCGUGGGGAGCGAACAGGAUUAGAUACCCUGGUAGUCCACGCUGUAAACGUUGGGCGCUAGGUGUGGGGAUCUUCCACGAUUCCUGUGCCGUAGCUAACGCAUUAAGCGCCCCGCCUGGGGAGUACGGCCGCAAGGCUAAAACUCAAAGGAAUUGACGGGGGCCCGCACAAGCGGCGGAGCAUGUUGCUUAAUUCGACGCAACGUGAAGAACCUUACCAAGGUUUGACA